rnacentral:lncRNA from 1 species
GAGAAACACUAAGACUCAGCAGAUAAGGAUGGAGGCGACUCAACAUCACACUGAGACAGAUAUGAGCCCUGCAUUUCUGAAUGCCUUGAAAGAAAAACCAGCAAGUUGGGAGGGCCGUGUCUCCUUAUCAUCUUCCAGGAAUUCAAAACCGUGAUUUCCAGUUUCCAAAUGCAACUCAAGCUCCAUCACCCUGUACAUCUUGCACGGUUUCUCCAGCAUAUCCUGAUCGCCACCUCCAGACCCUUCUGAUAGAUUCAUUACCUGAAUCUAUUUGAUCCUGAACUCCUGCUCUCCCUUGGCUCAACCUCAUCACAGCCAGAAAGGAUGAGAGCUCUUUAAUGAAGUGCAUACAUGUCAGUUUCCCAGGACACAAACCAAAGUAAAGAAGAAUGGAGCAUGCUCCUAUAAAGGAAAAUAAAAGGAGAUCCAUAAAGCAAAUCCAACUCAUGGACACUUACUAAACAUGCACUGUGUUCAUGUAAUGGCUCCAAGAAUCUUAGUGGACAUGGACGGAAGUACACACCUGGAGUGGACCUACAGAAGCUCAGAGUCAAAUGGCAGAAAGAUGAUAUGGGCAUUGAAUACAUUAAAUGAAAAUAAAAGUAAUAAAUCACAAGAGAAGAGAGUAACUGAGGGUGUCACUGGGCAGUACAUUAGCAAUUAAUUACCAGACACCUAUGCAGUUAAAAUGUACUGCUGGCCUUCAAAGGUGAAGGAAUCCAUGGCCUGGAAUGACCAUAAAAAAUUUAUUUUAACAAAAAGACAUGACUGUAGCCUUUUAGGGUAAAGAGAUUUUAACAUUUGAAGAGCAGAGAGACAGGUACAGCAUUGCAGGCUAGGAAAUGUGGGAGUUCAAAAUGGCAGACCAGGAGGAAGGCAAGUUGUGUUUGGGAAAAUUGACUUUAUGGUUAUUAGAAAGACCAUGUAAGCAAGCAGAGAUCAAUUGUGCUAGAAAUGUUUUUCAAAUUGAGCAUCUGGUGUGUGUUAGGCACUGCUCUCGGCACUGGGGAUACAGCUGUGAACAUGAUCAACAAGGACCCUGCAAUCAUGGAGAUUAAAUUAUAGUGAGGCAAACAGAAUAUAAAUAAAUAUACACAUUAGGUGAAAGCCAGACAGCUUCGGGUCUUAUGGAGAGAGUUACUGUUGGAGCAUGUACUAGAGAAUGACUAAAUGGUAACUAUAUGGGAUGGUCGAAGAUGACCUCAAUGAGGAAUCUCUACACUUAGAUAAGACCCAAAUAGCAAGAAUGGUUCUUGUUCUGUAUUAUAAUCAAGAGGAAGAGGAUUUCAGGCAGAGGGAAAAAUGGGAUCCAUGGGCUAAAACAGGUACUUGAAUGAUGUUUUUGAGGAAAUAAAUGAAGAUCAGGGUGGCUAGAGCAUUGUGAUGAAGGUUUACACCAGGUGCUGGCUGGUUUUUAUUCCUAGUGAGAGACAAUUGUUGCAUUUUCAGGGAUUUUGUAAGGCAAUUCAUAUAACGUUGGUAGCUUAUAAUUGACUAUGGUAGGAAUAUUCAUACCUGAGAAAUCGGCAAACACUGUGAAUCAGGACUCCCUCUUUGUCCCCAACCCUCAACUCCCAUUCAGAGAGCCUGUUUUUGAGUAUUUUCUUGCAUACCACAGAGUGAGUAUAAGAAGCAGCUGGAAUAGUAACUAGGAACCAAUCAUCUUAGGCUUUAUAAGGCAGAGAAAGGAAUUUUAAUUUUAGGUGUGUUGGGAAGCCAUUAGUGGGUCUUAUGUAGGAAAUGAAUAUGGUCUGAUUUACAUAUGUAAAGGAUAAUUCUGAGUAUGUUAUGGAACACUUUGUAAAUAGGUAAAAAGAGAAAUAGGAAAAUCAGCUAUUGCAUUAGACUCAGUUAGAAGUGGCAGUGGUUUUGCUAGGGGUUAUAUAAAAGGAAGAAAACUUAAUAAUGUUAGGCCUGACUAUAGGUAGAAUCUAUAGUUUUUACUCAUGAAUUGGAUGUAAGAAUUGAGGAGAAACGAAGAACCAAGUAAAAAUUUUGAGCUUUGGCUUGGGAAACUAGGUAUAUGGUAACGCCAAAAAGAGAGAUGUAGAGAAUUGAUGUAGGAGCAAAGCUGGGCUGGGAAAUUGAGAAAAUUAUACCUGCCUUGUUAAAGUUGAAACACCCACAUGACACUCACCUGGAAGGAUAUUCACACUUGGAUUGUUGGGGAAUAAUAAGAACUAGAGAUACAGUUUGAGGGUCACUGGCAUAGAGAUAGUAAUUAAAACCAGGAUGUCAGUUAUAUCACCUAGGGAUAAUGCAAAGAGAGAGAAAAGCAGGAGAUAAGACAGAUCGAGCAGUGGGAGAAGCCGGCAUUGAAGAAUGAAGAGGAAAACCAGGCGUGUCUAGUGCCAUGAUGCCAAGAGAAAAACCCAGCUCCGAGAAGACAGGAGUUUGUUUGCUAAUGUUAUUGAGGGAUAAAGUAAAAUACGAAGAGAGAAGUAACUUGGACUGGCGGCAAAGCGAUCACCAGUGCUCCUUCUAACUGUGGUGUCGAUAAAGUAAUGUGGACUGGAUGAAGGAGCCUCGUUGGAAUAAACUCAUAUAGGAAUGAUGAUACCGUGUUUACCUACUAAUGGGAAUGACCCUAUUGAAGAGGGAACAUCACGUAUGUUGGGGAGCGGAAAAGUCAAAGUCCUCGAAAAGCAUUAAGUUCCCCUAGUUGAUUUCAAGCUGCUUGAGAACUGAGAGCUUAUUUUGUUAUUGUUCUCCAAGUCUCGGACACCAGCCCAAUUUCAGGCACACGUUAAGACU